GGAAAUGUGGCUUAGUGGUAGAGUGCUUGUCUAGCAUGCAUGAAGCCCUGGGUUUGAUCCUGCAAAACCA
rnacentral:tRNA from 1 species